UAAUUCAAUCAAUAUGCUACGCUACGCUCUGUCAACAGCUGUCAAUCAUCCCCUCCUCUUCCCAAACCCCUUAUAUAUAACUACAACUCUUCUCCGGUGAUAUCAGAUCAUUCAAACUCUAAAACAAUCUCAUCAGUUCGCAUUCGAUCUCAUUCUACUCUAGCGAUUCGUAGUGUAUACUUUCCGAUUGAAUUCGUGAAUUGAAGCAAUGGCUCAAGCUGGCAUCAUGAAGGCAUUUCUAAUUGUAGCUGUUCUCGCCAUCUUUUCUGCUGCCGCUGCUGCUCAGGGGAUCGGAUCUUCUCCAGCACCUGCACCGGAUGCCGGAUCGGCGAUUACCAUACCGGUUUCCGGUGCCUUGAUUGCUGCCUCUCUUCUCGUCUCUUCAAUUGCUUUUCUGAGGCACUGAUUAGCUGUAUGUAUUCAUUCUUCUGAGUUACUCUACGGUUGUGUUUUUGGUUCUGGCCUCUGAUCUGGGGAGUAUGGAUGUAUUACUUGAUUCUUUUUUAUCUGUAUACAUUACCAGUACAUGAAUAAUAAACUACCAUACGGAGUGUUUUGUUAUUUAAUUCCUUCAACUUGCAAUGCUUUUGAAUAUAAUCUUUUAUUCUCUUUGAGAGUUUAAUUUGGAUACUUGUGAGUUUGAUGAAAGUUGGUUUAUAAAAUUAAGAAGUCCGAUAAGAUUGAAAAUUUGACUUGAAGUGUUGAAAAAACAGAAGAGCAAUACAAUUCUAAAUGAAAUGCUUGAUGUAGUAUAGGCAUUCAAACGCGAAAGGGUUGUCUUGUUAUAAAUAAAAGGCUGAUGAGAAUUAAUAAAUUAAAGAAUGGUUUCUAGUUUAAACUUGGCUUACUUUGAUUUUGUUAUGCUCAGAUCAGCUGGAAAUUCUAAUGAAAUGUUUUAACAUAACACGUGUUUCUUUGAAGUUUAUUCGGGACUUUGCAAUGUCAGAAUCUACUUUCUCAAAGUACUGAAGUGCAACUCUCAUCAUCAUCUAUGUGGAAGUGUAAAUCGGGACACCGGGUGCCACUAGACCACAAGCUCUUUGGCAAACAUAUAUAUACCUACUUAUUUCUUCGUCCCAACUAAUUUUGUAUGAGUUUAUUAGAUCAGUUGUUUCGUCGGUGGGGAAGGGUAUGAUACAACCUUUGAGUUAAAUUUGUCUGGGAGCCAAUUAUUAUCCCAAAUACACACUUGAUUUCCAUUACCCACCCUCCAUCUAGAAGGCUUGCGGAUGAUGUCUUGAGUUUCAAUCAAACAGCUCCAAAUAAAGGAGGGGUUUGCACCUUUGUUUGCUUAAAGAAAAGAAGAGUCAGGAAAAUACCUAAUUGCGUUGUAAAUUCUUGAGACUAGGGAAUUUGACUUCUGAAUUAGACUCCAAGGUUGUUUGCAAAGUAAAGUCAGAUUAAAUACUCACAAGUUCCUGAAUCCAAGACUUCCCCAUUUCUUAAGUAAGCACAUGUAUUUCCACGCAUUCCAAUGAAUUCCUCUAUUUGAUCCUUU